rnacentral:rRNA from 1 species
AACUUUCAACAACGGAUCUCUUGGCUCUCGCAUCGAUGAAGAAC